CCGGGUUCCAGACUGCCCGGAGCCAGCUGUGUCAUUGUUUUGGGCAAGUCACAUCAUUUUCCUCUUUGAACUCUCACCUAUAGAACCAGGACUUGGACCAGAUGAACUCCAUGCUCCUUUGGGCUCUGCCUUUGGGACCUUGGGUGUCUUUGUUGGGUUAUUUUCAUUUCCAGCACUUCGUUGCAUUUCUUGCUAAAUAGAAUGCUUCUUUGGACCAGGACUUGUGGGCUCCAGAUGCAUUUGUCAUUCUUGUGUCACCUGGUUUCUGACGGGGUCCAGCCAGAGGGAGGCACUGGCAGAAGACCAAAGGGGAUCAGGAAAGGAGAGACCAGGGUGUUUCUCCUCCCCUCUGCCUUCAGAGGUGUCUCUGGCAGAGAAUUUGCAUUUCUUCCUUGGUUCUAGCUCCUGCUCCGGUUCCAGUUUCUUACAGGCAUUCACCCUCACAGGUUCUGGAACAAGCUCCAAGGCAGAGGGAUGAUGGCCUGGCUGAGCCGCACCGCGCAGGCGCUCUUCCCCAGCGCAGACGCCCUGCUCUGUCCUGACAGUCCCGCGUUGCCCUCAAUCUGAAGGUAUGGAUAAUUAAGGUGCCCUUGCAGUCAGGUUGGAGCUACAGAAUUAUUUGCUGAUUUGCGUCCCCAGCCCUCUCCUUUUUUGUUGUUGUGGUAGCCUUGGAGGACUCUAUCCCAGAUGAUAAAAUACAAGAGCGAAAUUUUUGGACUCAUCCUGGUCUUUGUGUGCAUGAAAAAUAAAGUUGUAUUACGUUAAG
rnacentral:lncRNA from 10 species